rnacentral:rRNA from 1 species
AUGAUCGAGCAUGGGAUUUUCCCUUCGGUCAUGGAGGAGAGUGAUGAUGUGCCAUCUUCGGCCUUCAUCCACAGAGAUGACGACGAGAUGUUUGAGCAUGGGAUUUUCCCUUUGACCACGGCGACGUAUGAUGACUUGAGUGACUUGUGGCACCAUAUUGAGAGUGAGAGUGACUUCACCACUAGCCCCAUAUAUGAUGUGUUGCCACAAAUCCCAUGUGAGGAGAGCCACAACACCCACCACUUGAGUGAGAUGAGUGACUCCACCAUAUGUGAGUGUGAGUGCACCGACCUUGAGGGAGUGAGUGAACCACCACAUAGAGAGAGUGAGAUAGUUGAUAGGUCUUGUGAGGCCAUUUGCAUUUCUAACAACUUGACCUCUACCUCUAUUGUGUCUUCUCAUUUGGUGCUAGGUCCCAUUUAUGAUGACGCACCGAUCCUCGACAACUUCGUCCUCCCUUUGGACAUGACGAUGGCCAUGGUGGAAUAUGAUGCACCCCCCACAUGGUUCCAUCAAGAUGAAGAUGACCACCAUUUGGUCUUUCCCACCUCACCUACACCACUUGAGUGGAAUGAACAAGGUAACAUAGGUGAAGGUGAUGGUUUAGUCCCACUAGUGGACAUUCUUGACAUUGAUUGCUUGCAUGAUGUUGAUCCACCUAGUACCAUGCUUCAUGCUAGUAUGAUUUCCCUAUGCGAUGAUUUUCCCAUUUAUGAUGAGUACGAUGAUUCUCAUGUGGAGUCUAUUAGUUGCGAUGCCAUGUUACAUAGGAUUUCUUAUGACAAUUCUUUAGGUCACAUCAUGUUUGAUAAUCCGCUUGACUUAUCAUAUGCUAUGCAUGAGAUCCAUCAUAUGUCACAUUUGCAAUCUUAUCGUAGUGACUAUGCAUAUGACAUUAAAAUAAACCCAAUUUGCACUUAUGGCAUAGAUGACAAGCCCAUGGUUAUUGGCAUUUGUCUUUCUUGUGAUGAUAUUGAUAUGAUCCCUUUGCAUCAUUUAUCUCAUAUGCCAUGCCAUGACCACAUACCUUCGGAUAUGCAUUGUUUUGGAUGUUGUCCAUUUUCUCCAUAUGAUGUUUCCAAUAUUGCUCAUGAGGAGACCCCCAUAGUUUCCUCAUACAUGUUAGGAGAAUUUGAUCCAUCCCAUUCAUUGCAUGAUCCCAAUAAUUAUGUGCACCAUAUGUUUCCCUUGAAUGAAAAUGCUAUUGAUGUGCCAUAUAAUUGUAUGCUCAAUUUGCAUCCCCAUCGUAUUAUACAUAACAACUAUUCUUUCAUGAUGGAUGACAUGUUCUUAUACCAUGCAUCAAAUUUCUUUGAGCAUUUCUUAUCUUGUGCUAACUCACACGUGCACAUACACAUCAUGAUGGAUGAUGUGUACAUUUACCACGCGCACAAUUUCUUUGGUUUGUGUCUCUCUUGUGUAGGUACCCAUGAAUACUUGUCAACCUCGCAAUCCCACGAGUUGACAAAACGAGCUCUAGAGAGCAAUGAUGACUUGGGACCACGUGGAUUGUCUUUCCCACCGCUCUCUUUGCGCAAACACUUCACGCAUUUCUUCUACAUGUCCCUCACAUGGUUAUGGCUUAUUGUCCAUUAUAUAUCAUUUGCCCAUCUUGCCAUGUUCACUUUGCAUGAUAUGCUAUUUACUAUGCCUUUGCCAUGA